rnacentral:lncRNA from 10 species
CAGGGACCUAGGUGAGGACAGGUAUUUCUGUUUUCCUGCCCAAAGGUUGCAUUUUCCAAGACCACCCUGUCCCGCCACGCCCCCACCCUGUGCCUAUAAAAAUUCCAAGACCCUAGCAGGCAGAAACACAAGCAGCGGGUCGCCGAGAGGAACACACUGGCAAAAGAGCACACAGGCGGCUGGAGGUGGAGAAGACAGGAAGAACACAUCGACAGGCACCAGCAGACGCCGGCAAGCCAUUGACCUGUGAACAACAAGGACUGGAGCCUGGCCGAGGCGGUCAGAGGAGUGUCCAGCUACUGAGCGGCCAACUCCAGGGGAAAACCACCUUCCCGCUCCAUGCCCCUUCUGGGUCCCCAUCAUCUGCUGAGAGUUUCCACUGUCAAUAAAACUUUGCAUUCAUUCUCCAAGCCACACAGAGUCAAGAACCCGGGAUACAGAAAGCCCUCUGUCCUUGCUAUAAGGCAAAAGGUCUAAUUGAGCUGACUAACACAAGCCGCGCGCAGACGGCAGAACUCAAAGAGCACACUGUAACACAGGCCCACUGGGGCUUCGGCUGUAAAACAUUAGCCACUAGAUAGUGCUGUGGAGUCGGAGCCCCGCAACCCUCCAUCUGCAUGCUCCCUCCAGGAGUAUGAGCAGCAUGGCACUGAAGAAGCGAGCCACACCCCGUUGCACACCCUGAGAGGGGCAUAGGGAACUUUUCCCAUUUCACCUAGAUGACUAAGUGAAGACUAUGCUGGUGCUAUUUAUACAUAUUGGCUUAUUGCAUUCUGCUCAAUGAACAAAGAAAGCAAGCCUAACAAAGUCUAUUGAAGAUUUACAUUCAGAUUGUGUCAUCAUAUGUGUAAGAUGCCUGGACAGAAGUCAGUUACUAACCCUGGGAACUUGGAGCAGAAGAAAGGAAAGGGAGACAUUAGGAGGGAAGCCCUGAGCCUCACAAGAGCAGAGAAGUAAGAAACUGUGGAUGAAAAGGGAGAACAUGCUGAGAGGUAUGAGGGAGACACCAAGAAUAAGCAGCAGAGGUGAGUUUCUCACCUAGGACAUCUCCAGGUUUCCAGAGUGGGGUGGAAUGUCGGUGACCCACAAAACAGAUUAGAUGUGGGGUAUCUCAGUAUUGUGCUCUCUAUCCACCCAUAGCAUAGGCUCUCUGGCACAGGAUCAAGAGGCACUGAGACUGGAGGAAUAUUCUUUUUUUUAAUUUUUGUUUAUUUAUUUAUUUAUUUUUGAGACAGGGUCUCACUUUCGCCCAGGCUG